rnacentral:lncRNA from 1 species
CGACGCUUCCACUCGUCGACACCGAUUGUCCGCCGCCUGACGCCGUGGUUGUGCCGCCAGUCGCCAUUGUUUUGCAAGCUUGUGGUAAUAGUAACGAAAUCCCAGAGCUGGAGAGUUCGGAAUUCGAUUAUACAGCCGGAGAUGGGUUUUGGAUGGAUUGAAGUGGGUUGUGAUGUGUUUGACAGGAAGAAAAAUGUAGCGAUAGUGGGUAGAGAAGAGGGAAGAAGUGGGUUCGAAGG